AAAUAAAUACUUCCAUACUCUCUUUCAUGCCCUGACCUGCAGUACUUAAACAACAGGGUUCUGGAGGGAAGGGAGCAACCAUGACAAAAUUGGGAUCAGGAGACAAGAAGGAACGAGACAAGACAAAAAUUCUGUCCAAGUCUCAGUUUACUCUAGGGAAAUGAAGGGUUUAUAAAGCUGAAAACCACAAACGGUAUUUGCUCAAGUGCACAGGCCACACCAAUAUUAUCGCUUGGUAACACAUUGACAUCAAAGGAAUGUCCCCAUUGUAAAAUGUCUGGAGAACCUCUAUCGUAAAGUGUCCUGACUGAGUUGUGGGAACAGAAGCAAGAUAGUAGAAGAAAAAAAGAGUGUUAAUUGAUAAAUGAUAGCCCAGGAACAAGAUGGAGACUGAGAUGCCAGGGGCUUUUGGGCCCCAACAUUUUCACACUGGCUGCAGCAGUAACAGUGCAUAAGAAAUACUCAAGCCCCACAUUUGCUCCAGGAUUUUCUGUAUGUUUUCUUGAGAAUGGCUAAUCUGGCUAAAGGGAGAUAAAAUUUCAAGGUACUUCUAAUUUCCAUUUCCGUGAUAAAGCUGAGCAUCUUUUCUUUCUUUUCUGAUUUUCAUUAUUGAUGGAAGAAGUUGCUUAGGUGGCAGAGUAAUUGACUACCAUGCAGUAAACCCUGUGUUCAAGAUGUAGCUCUGUGAAAGUGGAGCCAGAAAUAUCAGAAAUUCAAGAACACCCUGAGCUACAUAGGGAGUUUGAGACCAGCCUAGGAAACAAAAACCAAAAAUUAAAUAUGUAUUGCAUAUUUGUAAGUCAUCUUUCAAAACUUCUGUUCAAUUUAUUUAUUCAUGGUUGAUUUUGUUGUUUGGUAUCUAGAUUUUGAAGGGUUUUGUUGUUGUUCUUUUGUUUUUUGCUUGUUUGUUUGGUUUUUGGUUUUUGGUUGGUGUUUUGUUUUGUUUUUCAAGACAGGGUUUCUGUGUGUAGCCAUGGCUGUCCUGGAACUUACUCUGUAGACCAGGCUGGCCUCGAACUCAGAAAUCUGCCUGCCUCUGCCUCCCGAGUGCUGGGAUUAAUGGCAUGUGCCACCGCUGCCCGGCUGGAUUGAAGUAUUAAUUCUCUGUCAGCUAUAUAAUUGUUUCAUACUGGGAAAACUGCCUCUCAUUGUGCAUGCAGCCUGCCCAUUGUUGGUGAUUGCAGAGGGGAAGCGUUGCAAUUUCACCCCAUCCUAUUUUUCACUCCUCACAAGCAUUGUCUGAGCUAUUGAAGUCCAUUUCCAAAACGUGCGUGCGUAUACCUAUACCUUGAAGUGCUUGCCUCUGUUUUAAUGGGAUAAUUUCAGAGCUUCAGCUAUCAUAUUGACAUCAUUGACGUAUUUUUAAUGUGUGUGUGUAUGUCUGUGGUAAAGACCUUGUUUACCUCUUCUACAUGUGAGUCUCUUAAGUACUUUCAAGAUAACUUUAUAUCCUAGAAGGAUGUAGUUUGAAUCCAUUUUCGUGUCAAUACAGAUUAAAAAGAAAGUUUGAGUGCUUUUGAAAUAAUGAGGUAUAAAAAGGUGUGGGGCAACAGCCCAAGGAAGGAAUCGUGAGGAGAGGUGGCUUUGAUAAGACAAUUAUUCCUUGAGUAGGUAUGAAAAGGGGAAAGGUAAAUUUGCUUUGAAAUUUCUUGUGUUAAAUGAUUAUGGCUUUCUGAGUUUCCAAAUGACUUUGUUCUUCCUUUGCUCUUUUUCUUUUUUAAUAAAUUUAAUAAAUUUAAUAAAUCUAAUAUGAUGUAUUCUUUGGCCACAUUUUCAGCCUGUGAAUCCAGAGGUGGCAAGGUAGUCUAGUCCUCUUAGGAAAGAGGAGUACCGUUGAAAUGUGCAUAUUUAUUGGUGACCAGCUAUAAGAUUAGAUUUACUGAGCAAAUAGAUUUUGUGCAGCCAUCCAAAACAGAGUGGUUGCCAGAGUGCUAGAACUGGCAAUAGUAUUUCUUUGAUCCUUUACCAAUCAGUUAUCACAUUUUCAAAAUUAUAAAGGGCAGAACUAUGCCCAAGGAAAGACUUGUGAUGCACAAACAUAAACCUGUCACUGAGCUCUGUGCCUGAAAGGAUGAUUGGUGACGAUCAUCAUACAAGCAAAGCACCAUUGUUAGCACUGUCUUAUAAUUCAUGGUGAGGCACUUAGGAAAAUAUGACUGGUCGUCAUUAUACUGCAUCCAUUCUAUUUUCUGUAAGGCAGAUGAAUGUGGGGUCGUUUGUUUAGCAUAAUAGUUUUCAGCAUGGAAGUAGAGAGCAAGUUUAUUACCUGAAUUUCCCCUUCCCCUGAGAGGGAUUUGUUUCACUUUGAAGUAGGAUUCUUAUAAAGAACCCACAAGCCACAGUGCACAGGGUAGUUUCCUUGAAAUUAAAUCUAAACUAUAGUCUAUUUUACUUUUCCAAUUUGCCUGGAAUCCAAGAAACAUGGGCACAGAUUGUUACUGGGCGCUUCGGUUCGUAAACCUGAUACCUUGUUUUUUCGGUGUUUCAAAGGAAUUAGGAAACAGAAACUGGUAAACUGAAAAUGGAUUUAUUUAUAGUCUGGUAGAUCAUGGUGUAGAAAGAAGCUGACUUCCUUCUCAUUUUCCUUGUGUAUUCUAUGUAUGCACACUUGACAGUUUAUAGAGAUCAUGGAGACAUAGGUUAGACUAUAAGCAGAUUUAGCCUUCUGUCUUUGGGAGAAGAGAACCUGAUUCCAAGCUGUCUCUCUUCUCUUUGCUUGCAUGAUUCUAGUCUGAGGAAAAUAGAUUUUUUAAAAAGACCCUUCAUUUCUU
rnacentral:lncRNA from 1 species